rnacentral:rRNA from 1 species
GGAUAAGUGCUGAAAGCAUCUAAGUACGAAGCCAGCCACAAGAUUAGAUUUCUCAGGGUCGUUGUAGACUACAACGUCGAUAGGAUGCAGGUGUACAGGCAGCGAUGUCAUAGCCGAGCAUUACUAAUUGCCCGUCCACUUUUUGCC